GACGAACGCUGGCGGCGUGCUUAACACAUGCAAGUCGAACGGAAAGGCCCUGCUUUUGUGGGGUGCUCGAGUGGCGAACGGGUGAGUAACACGUGAGUAACCUGCCCUUGACUUUGGGAUAACUUCAGGAAACUGGGGCUAAUACCGGAUAGGAGCUCCUGCUGCAUGGUGGGGGUUGGAAAGUUUCGGCGGUUGGGGAUGGACUCGCGGCUUAUCAGCUUGUUCGUGGGGUAGUGGCUUACCAAGGCUUUGACGGGUAGCCGGCCUGAGAGGGUGACCGGCCACAUUGGGACUGAGAUACGGCCCAGACUCCUACGGGAGGCAGCAGUGGGGAAUAUUGCACAAUGGGCGGAAGCCUGAUGCAGCAACGCCGCGUGCGGGAUGACGGCCUUCGGGUUGUAAACCGCUUUCGCCUGUGACGAAGCGUGAGUGACGGUAAUGGGUAAAGAAGCACCGGCUAGCUACGUG
rnacentral:rRNA from 1 species